rnacentral:rRNA from 1 species
UAGGGAAUUUUCGUCAAUGGGGGGAACCCUGAACGAGCAAUGCCGCGUGUGUGAAGAAGGUCUUCGGAUCGUAAAGCACUGUUGUAAGUGAAGAAUGCCACAUAGAGGAAAUGCUAUGUGGGUGACGGUAGCUUACCAGAAAGCCACGGCUAACUACGUGCCAGCAGCCGCGGUAAUACGUAGGUGGCAAGCGUUAUCCGGAAUCAUUGGGCGUAAAGGGUGCGUAGGUGGCACGAUAAGUCUGAAGUAAAAGGCAACAGCUCAACUGUUGUAUGCUUUGGAAACUGUCGAGCUAGAGUGCAGAAGAGGGCGAUGGAAUUCCAUGUGUAGCGGUAAAAUGCGUAGAUAUAUGGAGGAACACCGGUGGCGAAAGCGGCUCUCUGGUCUGUAACUGACGCUGAGGCUCGAAAGCGUGGGGGAGCGAACAGGAUUAGAUACC